UAAUUUGUAAAUUUAGUUAAUAUAGAAAAAUUAUUAAAAAUUAUAAGUUUGAAGUGAAAUGUUAAUCGAUUAAAUUGAUAUCUAGUUUUUUUAGAAAUGAAUUUAAUUCAGUUAUUUAAUUAAAUUUGUAUUUUUAUUUAUAUAAAUUAAAUUAAAUAAUAAAUAUUUUUGGGAUAAUCUAAGAAUAAUAAUAAUAAUUGAUUUAAAUUUUGUAAUAUUAAAAUAUUUAUAAAAAUAGAAAUUUUUAAUAAAAAUGUUAUAAUUUAAAAAAAAGAAUAAUAUAAUUUUUUAAAAAAUUUUAUUUAAUUAUAAAAAUAAUUAUUUUAAUGAAUUAAUAUAAUGAAAUAAUGAUUAAAUUAGUAAAUUUAAUUUGUAAAUUUAAAAUAAAAAAUUUAAAUAAAUUUAAAGAAUUCGACAAAUAUUUUAUCCACCUGUUUAUCAAAAACAUGGCUUAUUGAAAAAUAAUUAUAAGUCAAUUCUGCCCAUUGAAAAUUUUUAAAAGGCUGCGGUAAUUUGACCGUACAAAGGUAGCAUAAUCAAUUGUUUUUUAAUUGAGAACUAGAAUGAAAGAAUUAAUGAGAUAAAAAUUGUUUCAAAUUUAAAUAUUGAAUUUAAGGUUUAAGUUAAAAUAACUUAAUAAUUUUAUUAGACAAGGAGACCCCUCAUAGGAAUUUAAUAAAC
rnacentral:rRNA from 1 species